CCUACGAGUGUUCUUUUAGAACACGAAGUGGUUGAUGCCAUGCUUCCAAGAAAAGCUUCUAAGCUUCAGGUAACCAGGAACCGUACCCCGAACCGACACAGGUGGUUGGGUAGAGAAUACCAAGGCGCUUGAGAGAACUCGGGUGAAGGAACUAGGCAAAAUGGCACCGUAACUUCGGGAGAAGGUGCGCCGGUGAGGGUGAAGCAUUUACUGCGUAAGCCCAUGCCGGUCGAAGAUACCAGGCCGCUGCGACUGUUUAUUAAAAACACAGCACUCUGCAAACACGAAAGUGGACGUAUAGGGUGUGACGCCUCCCCGGUGCCGGAAGGUUAAUUGAUGGGGUUAGCUAACGCGAAGCUCUUGAUCGAAGCCCCGUAAACGGCGGCCGUAACAAUAACGGUCCUAAGGUAGCGAAAUUCCUUGUCGGGUAAGUUCCGACCUGCACGAAUGGCGUAACGAUGGCGGCGCUGUCUCCACCCGAGACUCAGUGAAAUUGAAAUCGCUGUGAAGAUGCAGUGUAUCCGCGGCUAGACGGAAAGACCCCGUGAACCUUUACUAUAGCUUUGCACUGGACUUUGAAUUUGCUUGUGUAGGAUAGGUGGGAGGCUUUGAAGCGUGGACGCCAGUUCGCGUGGAGCCAACCUUGAAAUACCACCCUGGCAACUUUGAGGUUCUAACUCAGGUCCGUUAUCCGGAUCGAGGACAGUGUAUGGUGGGUAGUUUGACUGGGGCGGUCUCCUCCUAAAGAGUAACGGAGGAGUACGAAGGUGCGCUCAGACCGGUCGGAAAUCGGUCGUAGAGUAUAAAGGCAAAAGCGCGCUUGACUGCGAGACAGACACGACGAGCAGGUACGAAAGUAGGUCUUAGUGAUCCGGUGGUUCUGUAUGGAAGGGCCAUCGCUCAACGGAUAAAAGGUACUCCGGGGAUAACAGGCUGAUACCGCCCAAGAGUUCAUAUCGACGGCGGUGUUUGGCACCUCGAUGUCGGCUCAUCCUGGGGCUGAAGCCGGUCCCAGGGGUAUGGCUGUUCGCCAUUUAAAGUGGUACGCGAGCUGGGUUUAGAACGUCGUGAGACAGUUCGGUCCCUAUCUGCCGUGGACGUUUGAGAUUUGAGAGGGGCUGCUCCUAGUACGAGAGGACCGGAGUGGACGAACCUCUGGUGUUCCGGUUGUCACGCCAGUGGCAUUGCCGGGUAGCUAUGUUCGGAAUAGAUAACCGCUGAAAGCAUCUAAGCGGGAAACUAGCCUCAAGAUGAGAUCUCACUGGGACCUUGAGUCCCCUGAAGGGCCGUCGAAGACUACGACGUUGAUAGGUUGGGUGUGUAAGCGCUGUGAGGCGUUGAGCUAACCAAUACUAAUUGCCCGUGAGGCUUGACC
rnacentral:rRNA from 1 species